CACACCGCCCGUCACACCAUGGGAGUUGGCUUUACCUAAAGACGGUGCGCUAACCAGCAAUGGAGGCAGCCGGCCACGGUAGGGUCAGCGACUGGGGUG
rnacentral:rRNA from 1 species